rnacentral:rRNA from 1 species
UACGGAGGGUGCAAGCGUUAUCCGGAUUCACUGGGUUUAAAGGGUGCGUAGGUGGGUUGAUAAAUCAGUGGUGAAAUCCCCGAGCUUAACUUGGGAACUGCCAUUGAUACUAUUGAUCUUGAAUACCGUGGAGGUCAGCGGAAUAUGUCAUGUAGCGGUGAAAUGCUUAGAUAUGACAUAGAACACCAAUUGCGAAGGCAGCUGGCUACGCGAAUAUUGACACUGAUGCACGAAAGCGUGGGGAUCAAACAGG